rnacentral:rRNA from 1 species
GACGAACGCUGGCGGCGUGCCUAAUACAUGCAAGUUGAGCGAUGAAGAUUGGUGCUUGCACCACUUUGAAGAGCAGCGAACGGGUGAGUAACGCGUGGGGAAUCUGCCUUUGAGCGGGGGACAACAUUUGGAAACGAAUGCUAAUACCGCAUAACAACUUUAAACAUAAGUUUUAAGUUUGAAAGAUGCAAUUGCAUCACUCAAAGAUGAUCCCGCGUUGUAUUAGCUAGUUGGUGAGGUAAAGGCUCACCAAGGCGAUGAUACAUAGCCGACCUGAGAGGGUGAUCGGCCACAAUGGGACUGAGACACGGCCCAAACUCCUACGGGAGGCAGCAGUAGGGAAUCUUCGGCAAUGGACGAAAGUCUGACCGAGCAACGCCGCGUGAGUGAAGAAGGUUUUCGGAUCGUAAAACUCUGUUGGUAGAGAAGAACGUUGGUGAGAGUGGAAAGCGCAUCAAGUGACGGUAACUACCCAGAAAGGGACGGCUAACUACGUG